GAUGAACGCUGGCGGCGUGCCUAAUACAUGCAAGUCGAACGAAAAGACGAUGAGCUUGUGCUUUUAACGUUAGCGGCGGGCGGGUGAGUAACGCGUGGAUCCCCUUCUUAUAUUUCGGGGAUAAUUACGGGAAAACGGUUAUAAUAACAGAGCAUAUAUUGUACCGCAGAGUUCAAUAGUGAUUGACGGCUUUGGCGUCUCUAUUAGCUGGUUCCGCGCUGCAUUAGCUGGUUGGUAAGGUAACAGCCUACCAAGGGAACGAUGCGUAGCCGACCUGAGAGGGUGGUUGCCCACACGGGAACUGGGACACGGUCCAGACUCCUAAGGGAGGCAGCAGUAGGGAAUCUUCCGCAAUGGGGGGAAACCUGACGCAACAACGCCGCGUGGGGUAUAGAAGUCUUCCGAGCGGAAAAGCCUGUUUGUAGGGAAAAACAAAUGUCUAAUUAACUAUGCACUGCUUGACGGUAACUAAUCAAAAAGCCACGGCUAACUACGUG
rnacentral:rRNA from 1 species